UUUUAUUCCACUUUAUAGAAUAUAAAUGUCAUAUUGCAUCUUAAUGCUGGAGUUUGAUUCAUUGAUCAGACCUAAAUUACCCAGGAUUCCACUUGGGACAACAGACUUCUUUCUUCUGUAUUUCUUUCAGACAAUUAGGUUGUCAUCUAUGAGAUGGUUGGGGGAAAGCAGGAGUGAGGUUGGGGAGGGGGAGAUGAGAUACCCGUGAUCAGAACUGCAUAAAUAUCACGUGGGUACUAAUUAAUGUCCCCUUGUCUUAGGCUCCAGAGGGAUUCUUGGUUGCCUCCAGUGAAAAGAACUGCUGCUGCAACAUCUGCAAAAGGCCAUCCAGAUGUGGAUGAAAGUGUCAUCCCAUCGCCCUCAGAAUCUAGAGGUUUCUGGAUCCAGGUUUCCCCAAGGAAGAAUGGCAGAACACAUUCUCUGUAGCUCCUUCAGUCCCCCUUACUGGGAUAGUCUGGAGGGCUUUGGGACUCCCAGGUAUGUUAACCCCCCAUCAUUUAUUGCUCUUCCAUUCUUGACACUUGAACUUGCUACUGUCUGUUUUAUUCAGGUCAAGAUGUUGAAAAACAUGAAUGGGCCGGUGGUUCGAAACAAACUGCUCUAGCUAAUGAGUUUUAUUUGUGUGUCUCGAUGUGGAAUCUCAGCUAACCCCUUUUAGGGCCAAGUCAGCCUUGAUUUAUCCCCAUAGUACAGUUGGUUAAAAUCAGCUGAGCAAAUUCACAGUCAUCCUGAAAGAUUUUGUUUUGCAGGGUUCAGGCAAAAAAUUGGUUGUUCGUUAUUGGUGGGGUGCCAAUAACUGACGCUGGUUUUGUGGCUGCAGGGCCUCAUGCCCACUUUUCUGGGCUCUCAUGGCACAGAUGUGAGCGAGGCACAAAGGAAGAAGGUGAUUGUUGGGAUAGCCGCAAGGAGGAAAGAGGAAAAAGAGAGCCGAUCAGGAACUGGACAGUUUGCAACUGACAAGAAGAAUGUUCAAUCAAAAAAAAAAAUAAGGCUUGGCCUGAUGUAUCUGGGGCAUCUGAUUGCCUCAGGCUGAAAGUACUUUCAGUGUAUUUUUACUGCCUCUCUAAAGUAAAGAAUUGUUUAAUUAGUAAAAAUAAAAAAGCUACUUACAGGAG
rnacentral:lncRNA from 1 species